AAGUAGCUCAGUGGUUAGAGCAGUACAAUGUAUGCAGGUUCGAAUCCUGCCCGUGUUG
rnacentral:tRNA from 1 species